rnacentral:misc_RNA from 1 species
AAGUCGUAACAAGGUUUCCGUAGGUGAACCUGCGGAAGGAUCAUUACCGAGUCGGGCCCCUUGGGGGUCCUCACUCUCCACCCUCUGUUAACAAACCUUUUGUUGCCUCGGCGGGCCGCUCGUUUCGAUGGGCCCCCGCCAGAGGACCUACCAAACUCUGUUGUAACUGGACGUCUGAGCAAAAAUCUAAUAAUUAAAAA